rnacentral:misc_RNA from 1 species
GUAGGAGUGAGUCUGCUCGCGAUGGCGGUCCGUCAGUCAACAACGAUGUUGAGGCUGACGACCCUAUCGCGAGCAGGCUCACUCCUAC